GUGAGCUGUAGGGAUAGGGUCGAUGAAGUCCCAUUCCCCAAAGUCAGAGACGUGAAUAAGUAGGUCCUACUUUAGAAAAAGGAUAUUUGGAUUCUUCAAGUCACCAUAUUUUAACUUCGCAGGACUUACCCAUUAUUCAGCCUUUGCCUUCCUCCGGCUCCAGCCAAGACGUAUGUUUAUCGUGCUAGAACAACUCGGACUGCGAAGGAACACAGCCAGAGCUAGAGCAGCCUCGGCACCUCCAGGGAACGUGUUAGAAAUGCAGAUUCUCAGGCCCCAGCCCAGACCUACUGAAUCAGAAGCUCUGAGAGUGCAGUCCAGCAAUCUGUGUUUCAACAAGCGCAUGGUGGCUCCGAUGCCUGAUAAAGUUUGAGAACCACCCGCACCAAAGAAUAAAGGACUAACAACCGUCACAUUAUGAAGUAUUGAAAUUGUGUAAACUGGGAAACAUGAAGAGAAACCAAGAGAUGCUACACUAUUUAUCGACGUAUUUAUAAAUAAUCUUGAUGGAUGUGAUUACUUGAAAAUAAACAAACCAAAGAAGACAAAUGUACAAGUUCAAAAAAGAAAAAUCAAAAAACCAAACAGAGGUGCCCUGCCCUGUGCAGUAGACGUUGAAUAUUGACCCCCUGGAAGAUCUUCCAUCCUGGGAGCUGACCAGCUGUGGUAGUGGUGGCGAUCUUGGAAUAUUAGGCUAUCGAUGAUUUACGAGGUCAUGACAAAACUCUAGUUUUUCAUAGGAUCAUUUUUAGUCAUUAUCUAAGACGGAUAGGGCAUCAGAGAACCAUUCCUUAAGUUCUCAUAACGUCCUCCCGAGCACAAUGAUGUCACCCACUUACACCGUUGGCUUGUCACAAUGCACUGAAAGGUAGACGUGGUGGCGGAGAUCCCAUGAAGCCCCCUCUCCGCUGGUAAAUCCUGCCGGAAGAUUAAAAGCAUUUUUCUCCCCACUGUCACGGCUUCGGGUUGGGGCAUUGCCAACCCACAAAAUGAACACGGUGAACGUCCAAUAAGCUAUGGAGCCGGAGCGGCUACACCCUGGCCUGCCUCUGCCCUGGUAUCGCAACUGACGAGAGUCAUUAUCGCAGGCUGAAAUUUGUCUCGCUUUGCUUUUCUCCCCUCACUCUGAGGCUUGGGAAGGGUGUGAGCUGUGCAAUCAGAUGAUGAUGCCACUAACACAAAUCUCUUCAACAGGAGCCUUCAGGUCAUUAAUCUCCAAUAAAGUAAUCUAUUUAGGACAUUGUUGAAAUGGCCUUGGGUCACUUUGCAUGAUGGCAUGAGGAUCCCCGGAGACGCACCCCACAUUAAAUUCAUGUGGAGGGAAUGGUUUCCCCUUGUCUCCGAGCUUCCCUCCUAACCUCUUCCAUUUCUGUAGUGUUGGAGAAUCCCACAAAUCUCAGUCAGCCAGACUCAGACUGUGCUGGUACCUCACAUGACGGCAGAAAAUGGGACAAGAACUCAGAACGUGUGUUGCCUGUGGCUGGAACCAUCAUCUCAUUGUCAACUUUCAUCUGCUAAGUGAAAGACGUGAGUUGGCAGGAAAAACAAUUACAGGGGAGUAGAAGCAAGCGAAGGAGCCAGCUACUGACAACACUCUCCCCUGGACCAAACUCUCGGCCUCGACCUUGGUGUCUGUCCUUGUUAGGCCUGAAUCACCCAGCUGUAGCAAGAAUCCUGUUGAGUUGGCUAAGUUACAAUCCCCCACCCUGGCUAUCUGAUCAAAUGUCCUUGUCCCGCCAUCUCCCAGGUAAUAUUGGGUCACCUUGGCUGCCUUCAGCAAGAAUCCCGUCAGGUCAGUUUGGCCAGAAUCCCCUCUCACCCACCUUCCCCUACAAAGAUUGCUUUGUUCUUUGUCUCUCAUACAUCUGCCCACAUAGGAGAAGAGGCUUUUUACUCAUCGUUGCUUCAAAAAGGGGCAGAGGUAGACUACCUUCCUUCUUAAAGCUGCAAAACAAUAAAGCUGACUCAAAGAUAACCUUAUCUUCAACCAUAGCCCAUCUUAAUUGGAAAAAAGUUUUUUGUUUUUGUUUUUGCUUGAAUGAUUCUAUUUCAAUGGAGGGCGGAGUGUGGGCAAAGUGGGCCAUGGUGAAUAUAAACCGAUUUCACUUUUUGGCUUGGCAUGAGAUACUGAGAAUCGGAAGAACAAAUAGAUACAUAUCCCAAACGUCAUGCAUGUAUUGCCAGUGGGCACGGCAGCUGACUGCUUUAUCCUCUGGUGAUUGUUUGAAAGCACGGUUUGGUUAACAAUCACUGCAGAUUCUAAGAAAUUACUUCUGGGAAUUCCGUACAAA